GUUCCUGCCUCCCAUCACUGAACUAAAAGGACUGUACUUUUCACCGAAAAACCAACCACCGAAGAG
rnacentral:lncRNA from 1 species